rnacentral:rRNA from 1 species
AUGCCGCUUCUCAUGCGUCUCUCCCCACCGGCGGCGGCGCCGUCGCCGCCGUACCGGCGAAGCCACGGAGGUUCUACCACGAGAUUAUACGCCGUACUCCCCGAGACCUCAGAGCGAAUGUUUCUUGUAGCUAGACAUGCCUCGUCGUCGACUGAUCCGGUGCGUCCUGGGAGCGACAACUUUGAUAUAGCUAAUGGACAUGGUCAUGUCCUUAUCAAGUCUACAUCUGAUCUUCAGAAAGCUGUAUCUUCUUGUUUCGGGAAAGCAUUGGUGACCAGCAGUGCUGUCAUGCUUGUGAUGCCGCCCAGUUGCUUGGCAGAAGAAUGCGACCCGGGGUACUCUCUUCCUAACAUGCCGCUGUUGUUUGCGAUAGCCAUGGUCGGUGCUACUGUUGGAGGGCUCCUUGCGAGACAAAGGAAAGGGGAACUUAAAAAGCUUAACGAUCAGCUACGACAGAUAAAUGCUUCACUGAGAAGACAAGCCAAGAUAGAAUCCUAUGCUCCUGCUUUGAGCUAUGCACCGGCUGCUAGUAAGAUACCAGAAUCAGAAGUCAUUGUUGAUCCUCACAAACAGCGCCUGCUCACAUAUCUGAGGACUGGGAAGAACUACCUGAGAAACCAAGCUCCAGACAAGGCAUUUUCCGAGUUUAAGGCAGCUCUUGAUCUUGCACAAUCUUUGGGUGAUCAUGUUGAAGAGAAGAAGGCGGCACGAGGAUUAGGAGCAUCAUUGCAAAGACAAGGAAAUUACAAGGAAGCAAUAAAGUACCACUCCAUGGUUCUCAGCAUCUCCAAGAUGACUGGAGAGGAUUCUGGUGUCACUGAGGCAUAUGGGGCAAUAGCCGAUUGCUACACCGAAGUUGGUGAGCUCGAGAAGGCAGGCAAGUUCUACGAUGAGUACAUUGCAAGAUUGGAGAAUGACUGA